CCUACGGGAGGCAGCAGUGGGGAAUUUUGGACAAUGGGCGCAAGCCUGAUCCAGCCAUGCCGCGUGCAGGAUGAAGGCCUUCGGGUUGUAAACUGCUUUUGUACGGAACGAAAAGACUCUGGUUAAUACCUGGGGUCCAUGACGGUACCGUAAGAAUAAGCACCGGCUAACUACGUGCCAGCAGCCGCGGUAAUACGUAGGGUGCGAGCGUUAAUCGGAAUUACUGGGCGUAAAGCGUGCGCAGGCGGUUAUAUAAGACAGAUGUGAAAUCCCCGGGCUCAACCUGGGAACUGCAUUUGUGACUGUAUAGCUAGAGUACGGCAGAGGGGGAUGGAAUUCCGCGUGUAGCAGUGAAAUGCGUAGAUAUGCGGAGGAACACCGAUGGCGAAGGCAAUCCCCUGGGCCUGUACUGACGCUCAUGCACGAAAGCGUGGGGAGCAAACAGGAUUAGAUACCCUGGUAGUCCACGCCCUAAACGAUGUCAACUGGUUGUUGGGUCUUCACUGACUCAGUAACGAAGCUAACGCGUGAAGUUGACCGCCUGGGGAGGUACGGCCGCGAGUAGAACGACGAAGUAGAAGUUAGACGGCGUGAGACGUAGACCGACGGACGACGACGAGGGGAGGAGG
rnacentral:rRNA from 1 species